rnacentral:rRNA from 1 species
GAGGAAAUAUUGGUCAAUGGCCGCAGGGCUGAACCAGCCAAGUCGCGUGAGGGAUGACGGUCCUAUGGAUUGUAAACCUCUUUUGUCAGGGAGCAAAGGGCGUCACGUGUGGCGUUUUGCGAGUACCUGAAGAAAAAGCAUCGGCUAACUCC